UAUGCGAUAACUGGUGUGAAUUGCAGAAUCCCGUGAACCAUCGAGUCUUUGAACGCAAGUUGCGCCCGAAGCCACUAGGCUGAGGGCACGUCUGCCUGGGUGUCA
rnacentral:rRNA from 1 species